ACCAGGCAGUCAACCAACCCUUAAGGGCAACCUUUGCCCUGCAGGCAAGAUAAGAAUAAGGUGAUGUUGCCUACCUCCUGAAUUUUACAGCCUGAAUGGCUUUUCCAUCAUGAAGUUAGUUGUGCUAAGGUUCAAAACCAAAAACAAAACAAAAUUUUCAGCCUACCCUGAAUCCACAACCCCACGAUGUGUGCCCACCACACCUUUGCCUUAAUAAACUCCUGAACCUGUGAUAUA